GUCCACGCCCUAAACGAUGUCGACUAGGUGUUGGGGAAGCGAUUCCUUGGUACCGUAGCUAACGCGUGAAGUCGACCGCCUGGGGAGUACGGCCGCAAGGUUAAAACUCAAAGGAAUUGACGGGGACCCGCACAAGCGGUGGAUGAUGUGGAUUAAUUCGAUGCAACGCGAACAACCUUACCUACCCUUGACAUGUCUGGAAGGCCGCCGAGAGGUGGUUGUGCCCGAAAGGGAACCGGAACACAGGUGCUGCAUGGCUGUCGU
rnacentral:rRNA from 1 species